AUUGAACGCUGGCGGCAGGACUAACACAUGCAAGUCGAACGAGCGGCCGACGCGUGAGUAAUGUAUGAGGAACUGCCUGAUAGAGGGGGAUAACUACUGGAAACGGUGGCUAAUACCGCUUCACAUCGAAUAAUCCCAUAUGGGAUUAGCUAGUAGGUGGGGUAAUGGCACACCUACGCGACGAUGCCUAGGUGUUCUGCGAGGCUGUUCAGCCACACUGGAACUGAGACACGGCCCAGACUCCUACGGGAGGCAGCAGUGGGGAAUAUUGCACAAUGGGCGAAAGCCUGAUGCAGCCAUGCCGCGUGUAUGAAGAAGGCCUUAGGGUUGUAAAGUACUUUCAGCGGGGAGGCGUUACCCGCAGAAGAAGCACCGGCUAACUCCGUGCCAGCAGCCGCGGUAAUUC
rnacentral:rRNA from 1 species